rnacentral:rRNA from 1 species
GGUGAACGCUGGCGGCGUGCCUAAUACAUGCAAGUCGAACGCAUAGCGAAAGGUGCUUGCACCUUUCAAGUGAGUGGCGAACGGGUGAGUAACACGUGGACAACCUGCCUCAAGGCUGGGGAUAACAUUUGGAAACAGAUGCUAAUACCGAAUAAAACUUAGUGUCGCAUGACACAAAGUUAAAAGGCGCUUCGGCGUCACCUAGAGAUGGAUCCGCGGUGCAUUAGUUAGUUGGUGGGGUAAAGGCCUACCAAGACAAUGAUGCAUAGCCGAGUUGAGAGACUGAUCGGCCCCAUUGGGACUGAGACACGGCCCAAACUCCUACGGGAGGCUGCAGUAGGGAAUCUUCCACAAUGGGCGAAAGCCUGAUGGAGCAACGCCGCGUGUGUGAUGAAGGCUUUCGGGUCGUAAAGCACUGUUGUAUGGGAAGAACAGCUAGAAUAGGAAAUGAUUUUAGUUUGACGGUACCAUACCAGAAAGGGACGGCUAAAUACGU